rnacentral:rRNA from 1 species
GACGUAGGGCGCGAGCGUUGUCCGGAUUUAUUGGGCGUAAAGAGCGUGUAGGCGGCCAUACAGGUCAGCUGUGAAAACUCGAGGCUCAACCUCGAGACGUCGGUUGAAACCAUAUGGCUAGAGUCCGGAAGAGGAGAGUGGAAUUCCCGGUGUAGCGGUGAAAUGCGCAGAUAUCGGGAAGAACACCUGUGGCGAAGGCAGCUCUCUGGGACGGUACUGACGCUGAGACGCGAAAGCGUGGGGAGCGAACAGG